GGUCCGCCGCGUGUUUGGAAGCCAUGGCGGUGCUUCUCCGUGCUGUGGGCCCUGGGAAGCCUCGGGCUUUCGGUGAUGGCCUACCCUUGGUUUCUGCUGGGACCACAAGAAGCCAGGCUGCAGGUUCCAUCUUAAUAAAUGGACCUCUAAGAGUAAAAGUGGAUGCAAGCAGCACCCACCUGAGUGGGCACCAGAAAUGAGAAGGCCAUGGGGCAGUGGCUUAUCUACUUGGCUCUGAAGCUAAGAUCAACUGAAUGCACAUUGACACCGAGGUCUGGUUAAGAUUGAAGGUAUUGGCUGUGGACGAUGUGAAAUACAUUGAGCUUAUGGAUCUUCCUGAUGACGUUUCUUUCUUCUCUUCAGGUACAGGCUGGUUCCUGAGGCUGAAAUGGAUCUAGCGGCCAUGCUGGCAGCCUUCCUGCACCUGGGCGUCGACUUGGCUCCAAAGUGGAAGCUGUCUCCCAGGAUCGCUAGGGCUCCGGUGCUGCUGCAUCCCGCAGAAAGAUUCAUCAAAGAACCCCUGGGUUUGAUCUUCAGAAGUAGCCAAGGAAUUCGAGUGACAGAUCAUCCCAGAAACCCUUUGGCAGUUCAUAAAAUCAGGGUGUUCUUAAGAACAUGUGUGCUGUGUUGGGGAAAGAGAUGCAUGACCUAGAAAAACAUUUUAUCAAAAGUGGAUUUCUUGGGAUGGAGAGAUGUUGUUAAGUGGUUAAAGCACUUGCCCUGAAAGCCUGAGGAUCCAGGUUUGAUUUCCCAGAACCUGUGUAAACCAGAUGCAUAUGAUGGUGCAUGCUUCUGGAGU